GUUGCUUUAGCAGUAUGCUUAGGGUCAUUGUCCUGCUGGAAGGUGAACCUCCGUCCCAGUCUCAAAUCUCUGGAAGACUGAAACAGGUUUCCCCUCAAGAAUGUCCCUGUAUUUAGCGCCAUCCAUCAUUCCUGACCAGUUUCCCAGUCCCUGCCGAUGGAAAAACAUCCCCACAGCAUGAUGCUGCCACCACCAUGCUUCACUGUGGGGAUGGUAUUCUCGGGGUGAUGAUAGGUGUUGGGUUUGCGCCAGAAAUAGCAUUUUCCUUGAUGGCCAAAAAGCUUAAUUUUAGUCUCAUCUGACCAGAGUACCUUCUUCCAUGUGUUUGGAGAGUCUCCCACAUGCCUUUUGGCGAAGACCAAACGUGUUUGCUUAUUUUUUUUAAGCAAUGGCUUUUUUCAGGCCACUCUUCUGUAAAACAUAGCUAUGUGGAGUGUACGGCUUGAAGUGGUCCUAUGGACAGAUACUCCAAUCUCCGCUGUGGAGCUUUGUAGCUCCUUCAGGGUUAUCUUUGGUCUCUUUGUUGCCUCUAGGAUUAAUGCCCUCCUUGCCUGGUCUGUGAGUUUUGAUGGGCGGCCCUCUCUUGGCAGCUUGUUUGGUGGUGCCCGUUGCUUAGUGGUGUUGCAGACUCUGGGGCCUUUCAGAACAGGUGUAUAUAUACUGAGAUCAUGUGGCACUUAGAUUGCACACAGGUGGACUUUAUUUAACUAAUUAUGUGACUUCUGAAAGUAAUUGGUUGCACCAGAUCUUAUUUAGGGGCUUCAUAGCAAAGGGGGUGAAUACAUAUGCACACACCACUUUAAAAAACAUAUUUUUUUAUUGAAACAAGUUAUUUUUUCAGUUUCACUUCACCAAUUUAAACUAUUUUGUGUAUGUCCAUUACAUUAAAUUACAGGUUGUAAUGCAACAAAAUAGGAAAAAUGCCAAGGUGGAUGAAUACUUUUGCAAGGCACUGUAUGGGCCUUGACUAGCCUCUAAAAGCACUUCAUGAUGACAGAGUGUCUGUUUACAACGUGUGUUGGAGAAAAGAAGAGGAGAAGAUCGGAGAGAAGUAUAGUGGCGGAACGGUCACUCUCUCCUGCAGGGCAUGUAGGAUUGAGAUGGAUGAGACAGAGGUGAGAUGAACUACCCUGUUUGAAAUGAUCUUGUGAGGACACUGAGACAGAAGCAAGACUUCUUAGUUAGAUCCCACCGGCUCAGCCUGUCUCAUACUGUACCUUGGCAGGUGGGAAUGCAAUCAUUUCGUUUGAACUAUAGUAUGUAUUACUGUGUGUACAUUUCACUUUUCAGGCAUUAUAAAAAAGAUCAUAUCUGGGUAUCACAAGGAUAUGAUAUCAUUAAUUGACAAGUGCAUUUUGGUUUAGAAAAAUAUUUGAUUGAAAGGAUCCACCCAGAGGACCUCAAAGCAUUGAAAUCAAAUACUUAAAUUCUAUAUUUUUUAAACACUUUUUUUUAAUGUAUUCCCUGGUUUAGUGUACUAUUGCCUUUAUCCUAUAUGUAAUAUGAUGGACUGUAUAUAUCCCUUCCAUACACAGACCAAAAUACCAAAUAUGUACCAUGCCAGCUUUUUCAUAGAUCUGAAAGGGUGUAAAAAACAUGGUCAAUUAAAAUCCACCUAAAGACCUAGUCAUGGGGCGGCAGGUAGCCUAGUGGUUAGAGCGUUGGGCCAGGAACCGAAAGGUUGCUAGAUCGAAUCCCCGAGCUGACAAGGUAAAAAUCUGUCGUUCUGCCACUGAACAAGGCAGUUAACCCACUGUUCCUAGGCCGUCAUUGUAAAUAGGAAUUUGUUCUUAACUGACUUGCUUAGUUAAAUAAGACAGACCCUGUAACCGAAAUACAGGUAUUGGGUAUGUGUGAAUGGUUCCCUGCUUUUUUGUAAGUCAAUUCAUCAACACUUCUAUUGUUUAACACCUCCCUAAUUUGAAAUGCAAACAGCAGUGGUUUAAAAAAUGUGUAUAAUACAGUGGAGGCUGCUGAGGGGAGGACAGCUCAUAAUAAUGGCUGGAAGGGAGCGAAUGGAAUGGCAUCAAACACAUAGAAACCACGUGUUUGAUGUAUUUGACACCAUUCCACUAAUUCCACUUCUGCUAUUACCACAAGCUUGUCCUCCCCAAUUAAGGUGCCACCAACCUCCUGUGGUAUAAUAGCGGUAUACCUGCAAAUAAGUGAUAAAUAAGGGGCUGUUUGAAAGGGGGUCAUAUAAACAUUGCCUUAUAUUUUUUACAGGUUGGUGUUUUUUUUGUUAUUUCCUGUGUGAUCGUGUCAUGUGGCUCUUCAUAACUUGUCCUUUCCUGACACUCAGGGGACCCUGUCAAUUAGCUGUAUUCUGUUUAUAUUUCCUCCCGUUAGAACACCUGGCAAACAAUUACUCUACUGUUAAAGCAGGAGGGAGUUUUUGGACAAAGCACCUCAUAGCUCCCAAGUGAUGACAUGGAUCUGUUAAAUGGCUCUAAAGCGGUUUUUGUGUUAAAAAAGAGAGCCUCUUUGCAGACUUUUGUCUUUGAAAGGCAUUGCCUGAGGCUCAACUACUACGAGGCUGCCUGUUAAUGACUUGUCAAGAGAGGGAGGGGAACAGCUGGAGACAGGAGAUCAUGCUAAGCUCUGCUGGGUUUUCCUCAUUGAAGUUGUGAUUCCUCGGUUGUUGAGGGCGAUUUGUUGAAAUCCUUGAUGUCUCAAAAUGGUUCUGUACCUUUAACAUAACAACAAUAAAUUCUUUGAAACUAAGAA
rnacentral:lncRNA from 1 species